rnacentral:rRNA from 1 species
CCUACGGGUGGCAGCAGUGGGGAAUAUUGGGCAAUGGGCGCAAGCCUGACCCAGCAACGCCGCGUGAAGGAAGAAGGCUUUCGGGUUGUAAACCUCUUUUAAGAGGGAAGAGAAGAAGUCGAUACCUCUUGAAUAAGCCACGGCUAACUACGUGCGAGCAGCCGCUGUAAUACGUAGGUGGCACGCGUUGUCCGGAUUUACUGGGUGUAGAGGGCGUGCAGCCGGGAAGAAAAGUCAGGUGUGAAAGCCUGCGGCUCAACCGCGGAACUGCAUUGGAAACUGUAUGUCUUGAGUACAGGAGAGGUGAGCGGAAUUCCUGGUGUAGCGGUGAAAUGCGUAGAUAUAAGGAAGAACACCAGUGGCGAAGGCGGAUGACUGGACUGCAACUGACGGUGAGGCGCGAAAGCGUGGGGAGCAAACAGGAUUAGAUACCCCUGUAGUC